rnacentral:lncRNA from 1 species
GAGCCAAACUGCACUUUGGUAUGGGGAGUCUCGAGAAACAGUGUGCGCAGGCAGCAUUAGCCCCAGAGGCUGGCAAGGCGGCUGAAUGGAUGCAGACGAGCUGCUCUCCCCAAGCGGGCGGGCUCUGCCAACACCUGUGAAGUGAAAACCCGUCUGCGCCGCAGAUCUUCUGUGUUGUACUGGACCCAGCCCUUUCCAGCUGAGCUGUGGUGACCCUAAACACUGUCCUGAGAUAUGUUUUGGGGCUGCUGUCUGGGCUCUGGUGCUACUUGCAGCUGCUCUUGAAUAUCUUCAACUGAUCAUCAGCUGGAAUAGCUGAAGUGAAACAAACUUCCCAUGAUCCACCUACCUUGAAGAACAGAAUCACUCUGUGAGUGAGAAAAGCCUGACUGCUGGCUGCCUUUCUUGCCUUCCAAAUCUUAGAGCAGUGAGAAAUGGAGACAUGGUUUGGGUCAGCAUCCAGAUUGAGGCAAUGAGAGGUGAAGUGUCUUGGUAAGUAACGUUUUUUUUCCAUUUUCUUUGUCCAAUCUUCCUGUUGCUCUCUGAUGUUUCUUCCUGUUUGUCUUCUUUCCAACAUUUCUGCCUCACUUACUAGUCCCUUUCUCACUGUCUCCUAUCUAUCUUUCAACCAUCUUUCUCCAUUUAUUCUUCUCCAACAAUUGCACUGAAAAGAGACCACGGUAGAAAUUAUUUUUACUUUGGCAGCCACUUUUUAUUUUUAUCUUUUCCCUGAAUAUCUGGGAUGGGUCCAGGCAGCUCUCCCCACUUUCAUCAUCUCUCUUCACAUCCCUUGUGACCCUGAGCUCUAGUCAGCAAUCUGAUGUCUGCCAUGAGAGCACCUCCCAUUAUCCAAAGCCACAAUCAGACUAAGGUGUUGUAACACUGUGUGUUGCUUUACUUACCACACUUGCUCUGCCGCUUUCUAGGAACUGCACACCUGUGCCAGGUUUUUCUCACAGAAUAAUAAUGACAGCACUGUCGCCUUUUGCACGUCUCUCCUCCUUGCUCCUGUGCCCAUCUUCCUCUCCUGAGCUUUGUGGUUUGGUCUCCUGGUGCAGUGCAGCCAGGAUAUGGGAGACUUGUAUUUAGGCUGUGCCUGAGGCAGUUUGAACUUGAAUCUCUUGCCCCUUGAAUUUGCACCCUGCCCAAGAGAUUAUCAACUCUUCUGUGAGGAGCGUGACCUGAGCCCUUUAAGUGGGAAAGCUUGAGCUUGACUUUUCAGUCUUGAAGUGGAGACACUCACCUGCCUGGGGAAACCACGUCUGCCAGGGCCUGCCCCAGUCAAUAUUUAAAUGCAAGUAUGGAGGUAUUCCCUGGAAGACAGUAGCAAACCCCAGGUUUCUUGCUGUCAGUAGUGCUUUGAGAACAACCACACAGAACAAUCAAUUUAAUCCAUUUAAUUAUUCCAUAUGAGCUGGAACAGCUCCAACAGGAUGGACUGGAGAAAGACUCUGCUCAACAAGAUCCUUUUGGAGCUGUGCUGAGCUCACUUGGCUGCCAUGGGUCAGUUCCCUCAUACCCCAGAGCAGCCAUGGAGCUGCCUCAGCACCACUGAUUUGACAUAGUGAGGACGUGUGGAGACUGGAGGGGAGGGAAGUGUGCUCCUCCACUCUGUUAUCCACGGUGGCAGGUUUGUAGCUGUAGCUGAAACACACACCUGCCAGUGCUGCCUCAGUUACUGCUCUGGACAGGCAUGGCAGCAAAUAUGUGGUGGAGGGAAAAGAAUUCUAUUAAAAGACAGGGCAGCACACUGGAGCAUUACAAGACAAAUUGCUUUUAAAGGUGGAAAUACAAUAAAAAUAGACUAAAGAGUCUUAAAAUACAAAAUCAAUGCCAAAACAGAGAAAGCCAGAAUGACUUCCAGAACUCAGCUAUAGGCAGUUGUCCCCCAGUAUAAGCCAGAUACUGUCAGUGUGUGGGAGACAUCCAGGAAUUUUCUUUCCUACAAAAAUAUUAGGAACAUUAUAUGUUUUAACUGUAAUGGAAAACUAGAGCUCUAGUGCUCAGUUCCAAAGAAGAACUCUAACCAUUAGAAGUGAUGUGGUACAGGGUGUGUGUGUGUGUGUGUGUGUGGCUGCUCCUUUUCUCCUCGAGAUUCUAUAGCUUCCUUCAUUCUUCGCUUCUCUCAUAUUACAGAAAGAAGGUAAUUUUUCCUGGCCAUUUACUAAAGCUCAUUAAAGACUGAAGAGAACAAACAAUGCUAUUCCUUAGAGACUACCAUUCAAAGUCAUUCUACAAUUCUCUGUUCUAAUACUUGAGACAAAUUAAUUAUUCCUUAGUGAAAAGUGUAUAAUUCCUAUUCUUCAUUUUUGGGGUGGGGAGUGGGGAAUAAUAAUAGGAAGUUUAUAUCUGAGUCAAAAGCUGUCUGAGCUGAAGGGAAAUGAGAAAAAAUGUGUGUUCCAAGAAGAGUAAAAGCAAUUACUCUAAUAAUAAUUCUAGGGAUAUUAAUGUCUUUUUAAAGUAAAUUGCUUUCAAAUAAACACCAAAGUUGAAGGCAUAGGAAAGGCUGGUUUAUUUAUUAAUCAUUCCAAACGUGCAUUUUUCUAAAUGAACAAGUGCAUGAGCAACUUCGCUGGCACAUAUUAAAUUUAGUUAAACGGCAACUUGUAAAUAUCUAAAAACUUCUGUAACCAGAGACUAAUUUGUUUAACGUGUUGAAAAUGUUCUGUGGAUGUGAGGAGCUACAUAUUAAACUUCAAAGCAAAAUGCUCCAGAGAUUACACCAUCUUAAAGACUGCAUAUUGGAAAGGCCUUUAUACAUUAAACAUAAAGGACUUUUAAUUCUCUUCUAUUUUGAAUACUUGUCAAUCUGUGUGACUCACGCUUAAGAUUGUAAACUAUCAUUUUAAGGUGUAAGGUCCAAGUUGAGACCUGGACCAUGAUUUGCAAGGGGCUGGCUUUUCUCUUUCAUCUCUAUUAAUUAAUCCUGUUUCAGUUUGCCCAGCGUACACUUCUGUUGACAUCACCUUUUCCAUAUACUUUAAAGAGUCCCCAGAGAGAUCUACUGCAGAACAAAAACUGGACAGAGAAUACAUUUGGAAACCAUUUUAUUUCUCAAUUACCAACCAAAACGUAUGGAAAAGAUUUACACUCUAUCUGAUUUACACAAUAAUUAUACUUUGAAAGCUUAGAAAUAAAUGGCUUGAUCCCUGAAAUCAUUAGUUACUAUACCAAAUGUAAUUGGUGUAAACUAAUGAGUUUACUGGAUGGCUGACCCUUAAUUACUGAUUAUAGUUAAACUCUAGCCAAUCAAAAUUUCGUUUACUUAUAAAAGUACAGUGUACUAUUAACAAGCAUUACAUUUCCAAGCAAGCAGCUUUAUGAUUAGUUGUAGCACACAACUCAAGCCUGUUCAGGGCUAUCAAAAGCAGCUUUUUAAUAACAGUGCACUAAGCAACCAUCAUUCUCUUACCUCAGCUUCUAUCAGACAACAGAAAGAAACCACAUAAUUAAUCAUCUCAUGCAAUAGAAAUAAAGCAUCUGGGCCAUAUCCAGGUGGGAUAUACCCAGCCUUUUUAGUUCAAAGAGCUGCAAGAGGCUGGGGAUCUGCCUUAGGAUAGGAUAACUGACAUGGGGAAUUCUGGCUCUCUUGGGGGAGCAGUAUGGAGUAUGGAAAUGAAAUACUGAUUGAUUGAGUGCAGUCCCAUGUGAUGUGGAGAAACCUAUCAACAAAAUAGAUUUAAUAAUUCCUUAAAUUGCAGAAGAUUUCUUGGGCAGAUUCAGUAUGUCGUGAUGGGACAUAUGAUUCCUGUACUGGCAAUCCCAAAAAUCUAGAAGUCAUGAUUCCUCACUAUUUAUUAGUUCAAAUGGAGAAUGUUUUGGUUUUUUUUUUUUUUUUUAAUAAAAUGCUAAAUGGGAACAAAUUAUUUUUAUUUGUCUCUGCUUGAUCUUUAAGAACUAAUGUUUUGCCUAACCAGGAAGACUCAAAAUUCCUAGUAAAAAAGUUGAAAGCAGAUUUCUAUAUAGACCACGAUUCCAGAGUUGGAACUUAAAAGAGGUACACUAAAUAUUUUAAUAAAAUCAUGAGCCUUUACAAUGCGUACAGUCACAUCCUUAAAGAUACUUAGGUAAAUGACUCCAGUGAUUUAAAGAUGUGGAAAUUCUCCAUCUCCUAGAUCAUUCCUGUGAAUCCUAAACUUCAGAUAGGAGAUGGAUACCAGAAGUCACAAGCAGAAUAUCAGGUGCUAUGGAGGUUUUAGUUGGAAGAAUAUGUAUUUGCUGGAGCUCUGCACUCUGUGCUCUGCAGAUGACCCAACAGAUCUCACAGCUGCAAGGGUUAAUUCUGUCAUGAUUGCAGGUCUCUCCUAUUUCUGUUUUUCUCUAUGAACCUUACCUGCUGGCCCUUUGGAACAAGUACUGUAACGCUUGCCCACUUGUUAGUAUAAACAUUUUCUUAAAACUCAGAAAUUUAAGAAUGAAGUAGUUCUCAGAAUAUCUGCACAUGGGUUAAAGUGAAAUUUUUUAUUUACUGAAUUCCUGUUUGUGAGAUGUGUCUGGGGUCAAGAAAAGGUUAAAGUUGUUUACUGCCUUCAAGCUCUGGUCUUAGAAGUUAAUUCAGAACUGUGCUUUGAGCAGCUACAGAGAGUAGUAAGUCCUUGCAGCAGUGAAUUGCUGGUUUGAUGUCAAGGUCCAUGGGCCUUAAUCAUAAAAUUAGUUUGUUUCUUAAGGAAACCCUAGCAGGGACUUUAUGGUUAUAUAAGUCAUUAUACUUUUUUACAACACAGCUUUAAAGAUGCUUCAGAAUGAUCAGAGUUUGUAGGAAGGGAUCAUGGUUUUUAUUAUUUGUGGAGUAUCCUCAAGCUGUCAUAGCUACAGCACUGCCACUUGGAAUAGCUGCUUCACAGUUCAAAAGAAAAGACAAAGGAUUUGUUGAAGCCUAAGUCAGGCAAUUAGGGCAUAUCUGUCCAGAGAAAGCUCAUUGAAUUGAAUGGAUUCCAUGUACUUCCUGACAACUGACUCCAGUUUUGUAGGAUCUGUAUAUUUGGGGCAAUCAAGGUGUUUUAUUACAAUUCCACAAGAGCAGAUAGAGGGCCUAUGAAGCUCUACAAGCUCUGCUUUUCACAGUUCUCUGAUGGAGAAUUUAGGGGUGAUUUUGAAAAUCAUGGAAAAGGAGGAAGGCAUAUUUUCCAAAACCUUGAGAAAAGACAAAGGAAACACUAGACUACACAAAAACUUUGCUGUCCACCCUCUGCACAGCAGUGCUGGUAAGAACAAUGCUGCUAUUUCUGAAUUGCUAACACUAAGACAACAGCCUCCAAUGCAGAAGGGAGACAAGAACCAUUGUUUUAGGAGGAGGGGAGCACACUAGAGACAGGUUCUGAAAUGAGCCACUGUCACUUUGCUGCACUUGCAUACACCAGGCAAAAUUCUUCCAUCUUCAUCAGUCUCUUAGUGAAAUAGAAAUAAAACAAUUUUAACAGAAUGGUGUCACUGGAUCUGUGGCACCUGCUUUAAAAAUAAAUCUCUUAGCUUUGUCUUCACCAUUACUUUCAAUAAAUGUCCUAGCAUUGCCACAGCAUUUAUCUAGCAGCAGGAAACCAUUAUCCUAUGACAACAAUCUAUUCCAUUAACAUUAGCUCUUAAUUGUAAGAUUGUUUAUAAGACAGGAAAAGCUACUGAAUCAUAGUAGAAUGAUAAAAAGAGUUAUGGUCAUGGAGUAUAGUAGUCCCUCCAGUUAUGAAAAAUAACCUAGGAGUAGAAAGCUAUAUUUUUAUAUGAAAAAUAAUGUAAUAUUCUUAUGCAAUUUAAUGUUUUUAAAUAAUGGAUUACAUCAGGAAGGUAGCUAUUAAAGAGUUAAUGUUAAAAACUGUUAAUAAGAAACUCUUUCUUUGAUAAUGGUAUGGCUGUAAAACUAAAUAAAAGCCUAGAAACUCUCCUUCUUCAUUUUAUCAAUGCUGCACCAAGCCAGAGAAAUCAUAAUAACAGAAGCACAUUUGUCUGGUGGAGUGAACAGAAGAAAUGUUGCAGAAUUGAGAUAUGAAGAACCUCACUGCAGAAUAGAAGGAGAACUGUCAUUCUGAUUCUUUGUCAUUAUUGUUUCAUGUCCAGUUAAGUGAACUUAAAGUGACAGUUGUGUCAUAACUGCGGGCAUCUAUGUAAAUUUCAAAUCAAAUACGAUAGAGGCAUUUCUGCCAGACAGAAGUCACCAGGCUGCUCUUCCUCUUCAUUUUUGUAACCCUCCAUUUUCUCAUGCCAUUGCUGGUAGCCCUUAAAUUAAAAAGACAACUUCAA